rnacentral:tRNA from 1 species
GUGGGUAUAGUCAAGUGGUUAAGACACAUGGUUGUGGUCCAUGCAUCCGUGGGUUCGAAUCCCACUACCCACCCCA